GAUGAACGCUGGCGGCGUGCCUAAUACAUGCAAGUCGAGCGAACGGACGAGAAGCUUGUUUCUCUGAUGUUAGCGGCGGACGGGUGAGUAACACGUGGAUAACCUACCUAUAAGACUGGGAUAACUUCGGGAAACCAUAGCUAAUACCGCAUAAUAUUUUUAACCGCAUGGUUCAAGAGUGAAAGACGGUCUUGCUGUCACUUAUAGAUGGAUCCGCGCUGCAUUAGCUAGUUGGUAAGGUAACGGCUUACCAAGGCAACGAUGCAUAGCCGACCUGAGAGGGUGAUCGGCCACACUGGAACUGAGACACGGUCCAGACUCCUACGGGAGGCAGCAGUAGGGAAUCUUCCGCAAUGGGCGAAAGCCUGACGGAGCAACGCCGCGUGAGUGAUGAAGGUCUUCGGAUCGUAAAACUCUGUUAUUAGGGAAGAACAUAUGUGUAAGUAACUGUGCACAUCUUGACGGUACCUAAUCAGAAAGCCACGGCUAACUACGUG
rnacentral:rRNA from 1 species